rnacentral:ncRNA from 3 species
UACAGAGACUGCAAGCGUUAUUCGGAUUCACUGGGCGUAAAGGGUGCGCAGGCGGUUGGGUGUGUCAGAUGUGAAAUCCCGAGGCUCAACCUCGGAACUGCGUCUGAAACUACUCGACUAGAGUACUGGAGAGGGUAACGGAAUUCACGGUGUAGCAGUGAAAUGCGUAGAUAUCGUGAGGAACACCAGAGGCGAAGGCGGUUACCUGGACAGUUACUGACGCUCAGGCACGAAAGCAUGGGGAGCAAAAGGG